GAUGAACGCUGGCGGCGUGCCUAAUACAUGCAAGUCGAGCGAACAGAUAAGGAGCUUGCUCCUUCGACGUUAGCGGCGGACGGGUGAGUAACACGUGGGUAACCUACCUAUAAGACUGGAAUAACUCCGGGAAACCGGGGCUAAUGCCGGAUAACAUUUAGAACCGCAUGGUUCUAAAGUGAAAGAUGGUUUUACUAUCACUUAUAGAUGGACCCGCGCCGUAUUAGCUAGUUGGUAAGGUAACGGCUUACCAAGGCAACGAUACGUAGCCGACCUGAGAGGGUGAUCGGCCACACUGGAACUGAGACACGGUCCAGACUCCUACGGGAGGCAGCAGUAGGGAAUCUUCCGCAAUGGGCGAAAGCCUGACGGAGCAACGCCGCGUGAGUGAUGAAGGUCUUCGGAUCGUAAAACUCUGUUAUUAGGGAAGAACAAAUGUGUAAGUAACUGUGCACGUCUUGACGGUACCUAAUCAGAAAGCCACGGCUAACUACGUG
rnacentral:rRNA from 1 species